UACGAAGGGGGCUAGCGUUGUUCGGAAUUACUGGGCGUAAAGCGCACGUAGGCGGGUCGUUAAGUCAGGGGUGAAAUCCCAGAGCUCAACUCUGGAACUGCCUUUGAUACUGGCGACCUAGAGUCCGGAAGAGGUUAGUGGAAUUCCCAGUGUAGAGGUGAAAUUCGUAGAUAUUGGGAAGAACGCCAGUGGCGAAGGCGGCUAACUGGUCCGGUACUGACGCUGAGGUGCGAAAGCGUGGGGAGCAAACAGG
rnacentral:rRNA from 1 species